UACGUAGGUGGCAAGCGUUGUCCGGAUUUACUGGGCGUAAAGCGUGUGUAGGCGGACCUUUAAGUAGAAAGUGAAAGGUUGGAGCUCAACUCCAACACUGCUUCCUAUACUGGAGGUCUUGAGUGCCGGAGAGGAAGAUGGAACUGCACGUGUAGCGGUGAAAUGCGUUGAUAUGUGCAGGAACACCAAUGGCGAAGGCAAUCUUCUGGACGGAUACUGACGCUGAGACACGAAAGCCAAGGUAGCAAACAGG
rnacentral:rRNA from 1 species